rnacentral:lncRNA from 1 species
GUGUAUGCAGUUAUUCCCUGACUCAGUCUAGUUAGCUGAUGCUAAGUGAUACAUCACUUGAGUGGACAUGUGAUGUUGGUGUUGCUUGUAAGUGUAGCUGCAUCAGCUGAGUAACCUUUGGUAAGGAAUGGUGACCGUAGCUGAUGGCAAAAACAUUUUCACCUGGUUUUAGCAUUCACUAAGGACACAGAGAUAUAUGUAAUGAAUCACAGCUUUAAACAGAGGUCCUGCCUGUUCCGGUAGCUGGUGUGCAGUUGUAGAUGCUCAGGGGAAACAUAAAGGCAAUUUUGUAAAGGUGGUUUUGGAGAAGUUGAUGGAGAAAUUAAGUUGGUUACCGACUGGCUGUCUUGCAAGGUAUUUUUAAUGUAGAGGCAGUCUCUG